AAUAUGAAUGAUUUAAUUCUGUAAUUAAUACACAGUUAUUCUUAAGUGUUGAAAUUUAACUGAAAUGUGAUCCCUGUUAAACAUAAGAGUAGGAAUAAGAGAGGGAAGAGAUGUACAAUUUGGGACAUGCUCAAGCUGACUUGCCCCAAAUGGUAGAGUUAGAAACAUACCAGGGGACUCCAAUUCAAUCCCAUCAAGGUGUCAUGUACCAAUGCCAUCUCACCAGUCCAAGUGAUCAAUUUCAGUUCACAAUUGAUCAUAAUGAAAGGACUAAGAGUCAAAGGAAGCACAUAAACAAGUCUAGUACCUGCUAAUACUAACUGAUAGAAUAAAUAAAGGGGAGAGUGAUCCAACAUGGGAAGCGAGAUACUCAGCAGACUCAUAGAAUGGUGGAUGUCCUAAACAGCACUCUGGCCUCAGAAUCAGCGCUAAAGGCAUUCCGAUCUGGCUGAAAAGCCCAUGAGAGUAUUUCAGGCAUGGAAAGCCAAGACACUCUGGCAAAAAAAAAAAAAAAAAAAAAAAAAAAAAAAAAAAAAAAACAAACAAA